rnacentral:rRNA from 1 species
UAACAUGAGAGUUUGAUCCUGGCUCAGAAUCAACGCUGGCGGCGUGCCUAACACAUGCAAGUCGAACGCGAAAGUCCCGCAAGGGGCAAGUAGAGUGGCAAACGGGUGAGUAACACGUGGGUGACCUGCCUUCGAGUGGGGGAUAACGUCCCGAAAGGGACGCUAAUACCGCAUAACAUCCUGCUUUUGAACAGGUGGACAUCAAAGCUGGGGACCGCAAGGCCCAGCGCUUGAAGAGGGGCCCGCGCCUGAUUAGCUAGUUGGUGGGGUAAUGGCUCACCAAGGCAACGAUCAGUAUCCGGCCUGAGAGGGCGGACGGACACACUGGGACUGAGACACGGCCCAGACUCCUACGGGAGGCAGCAGUGGGGAAUUGUUCGCAAUGGGCGCAAGCCUGACGACGCAACGCCGCGUGGAGGA